rnacentral:rRNA from 1 species
UCCACGCCGUAAACGAUGUCAACUAGUCGUUGGGCUCUUCGGAGCUUAGUGACGCAGCUAACGCGUGAAGUUGACCGCCUGGGGAGUACGGCCGCAAGGCUAAAACUCAAAUGAAUUGACGGGGGCCCGCACAAGCGGUGGAGCAUGUGGUUUAAUUCGAUGCAACGCGAAGAACCUUACCUACCCUUGACAUCAUCAGAACUUGUUAGAGAUAACUCGGUGCCUUCGGGAAC